rnacentral:rRNA from 1 species
UACAGAGGGGGCUAGCGUUGUUCGGAAUUACUGGGCGUAAAGGGCGCGUAGGCGGCCUGCUAAGUCGAACGUGAAAUCCCUGGGCUCAACCCAGGAACUGCGUCCGAUACUGGUUGGCUUGAAUCCGGGAGAGGGAUGUGGAAUUCCAGGUGUAGCGGUGAAAUGCGUAGAUAUUGGGAGGAACACCAGUGGCGAAGGCGGCUCACUGGACCGGAACUGACGCUGAGGCGCGAAAGCGUGGGGAGCAAACAGG